UGUAUUUGGAAACUAAAUUUUCAAGAGUAAGUGAUGCAAAAAUUAAAGCGGGUAUUUUUGUUAGGCCACAGAUCAGGGAGCUGAUGAGAGACCAAGAGUGUGAUGAAGAUAUCAAUGAUGUUGAAAAAUCUGUGCAUUUAAGAAAGUUUACAGAGACUUUGGGGGGAAUCAUAGAGCAGAUAACUUUUCUGACAUGGUGAAAGACCUACUGACAUCAUACAACACCUUGGGAUGCAAUAUGAGCCUAAAAUCCACUUCUUGAAUUCUCACUUAGACUUUUUCCCUGCAAAAAUCUUGUAGCUGUCAGUGACAAGCAUGGCAAAAGGUUUCAGCAGGACAUUCUGAACAUGGAAACUCGGUACCAAGGAAAGUGAGGCUCUUCUAUGUUGGCUGAUUAUUGUUGGUCACUAAUGUUGGCUGAUUAUUGUAGGUUCCAGAAGCUAAAUACAGUAAAAAAAUCAUACACCUCUAUGUUAAUUACUUAGUCACAUAAAAACCAUGCCCAAUAGAAAAAUUCUAAAAACGGUUUUCAAAUCUGCAUUAAAAGUACUAUAAAGUUCACUUUCUUUAGUUCAUAGGACAGCAAAAAGUUUGAGUUUUGUUCACCAGUGUAAUCAAUCCAAUAAACUUUCUAGAUUCAGCAAAAUUUAUUUCUAUCCACUUAUCUUUAUAGACACAAGUUCCUUUGACAUUUGUCCAUAUUUGGAUUAUUUCCAGGAGAUUUGGAUUCAUGAACAAUAUAAAUGAGGAAAGAGCUGAAUCACAAAAUCUACUUGCAAAAUGGCAAGGUCCAAGCUGUUGAUGUAAAACAUUGUUAAAAAAGGAUUGACACUUGUAGCAUGCA